rnacentral:rRNA from 1 species
UAGGCUGGAAGUGGAAGUGCAGCGAUGCAUGGAGCGGACCAGUACUAAUCGGUCGAGGACUUAACCAAG